rnacentral:misc_RNA from 1 species
AGUCGUAACAAGGUAACCGUAGGUGAACCUGCGGUUGGAUCAUUAAUGAUUAUGAUAAUUUUUUCUUGUUCGGGUGUCGUUGCUACGGGCAACAUACUGAAUGAGAAAAACUUAUUACCCACCCCCUUUGUGAACUGUUUCUCGUCCGACUGUAUUUUGGGUGUGGCUACGCCUUUAUAAACAGCAGGGAAAAACGGCAUUUAAGCGGUUCUUCGCGGUGUUUGAUUUUCUCUGUUGUUUGUGGCCAUUCCCCGGUAUAGUUUUUUUUGUAAAACACCACGAAUCUUAUGUGCUCAAGUGUCGCUCACCUGGUUCAUUUUUUAUCUAUGAAUCUUGUAAAAAAAAAAACAUACAACUUUUGACAAUGGAUCUCUUGGCUCAC